CUCCUACGGGGGGCAGCAGUGGGGGAUAUUGCACAAUGGGGGAAACCCUGAUGCAGCGACGCCGCGUGUGGGAAGACGGUCCUCUGGAUUGUAAACCACUGUCCCCAGGGACGAAGAUGACGGUACCUGGGGAGGAAGCUCCGGCUAACUACGUGCCAGCAGCCGCGGUAAUACGUAGGGGGCAAGCGUUAUCCGGAUUUACUGGGUGUAAAGGGAGCGUAGACGGAGGAGCAAGUCUGAUGUGAAAAUCCGGGGCCCAACCCCGGAACUGCAUUGGAAACUGUUUAUCUAGAGUGUCGGAGAGG
rnacentral:rRNA from 1 species